rnacentral:rRNA from 1 species
UGUAGCUCGAUGGAGUAGGGCGGGACGACGUGGUGAUCCUGUCUGAAGUAUGGGGGGACCAUCCUCCAAGGCUGAAAUACUCCUGACUGACCGAUAGUGAACCAGUACCGUGAGGGAAAGGCGAAAAAGAACCCCGGCGAGGGGAGUGAAAAAGAACCUGAAACCGUGUACGUACAAGCAGUGGGAGCCUCUUUUAUGGGGUGACUGCGUACCUUUUGUAUAAUGGGUCAGCGACUUAUAUUCUGUAGCAAGGUUAACCGAAUAGGGGAGCCGAAGGGAAACCGAGUCUUAACUGGGCAUUAAGUUGCGGGGUAUAGACCCGAAACCCGGUGAUCUAGCCAUGGGCAGGUUGAAGGUUGGGUAACACUAACUGGAGGACCGAACCGACUAAUGUUGAAAAAUUAGCGGAUGACUUGUGGCUGGGGGUGAAAGGCCAAUCAAACCGGGAGAUAGCUCGGUUCUCCCCGAAAGCUAUUUAGGUAGCGCCUCGUGGAAUUCAUCUCCGGGGGUAG